rnacentral:rRNA from 1 species
CAGCAGCCGCGGUAAAACCAGCACCUCGAGUGGUCAGGAGGUUUAUUGGGCCUAAAGCAUCCGUAGCCGGUUGCAUAAGUUUUCGGUUAAAUCUAUGCGCUUAACGUAUAGGCCGCCGAAAAUACUGUGCAGCUAGGGAGUGGGAGAGGUACACGGUACUCGAUAGGAAGGGGUAAAAUCCUUUGAUCUAUUGAUGACCACCUGUGGCGAAGGCGGUGUACCAGAACACGCUCGACGGUGAGGGAUGAAAGCUGGGGGAGCAAACCGGAUUAGAUACCCCCGUAGUCCCUGUCUCUUAUAC